rnacentral:lncRNA from 1 species
GCUCAAGAAAAAGAACAUUGAACACAUAAUUAAAUAAAUAAAAGUAUAAUCUCUCUAGUUGCUGAGUAUUUGCUAGCCGCAAAGGCUUUGGUCUAGUGGCAAGAACACAACAUGUGAAUUGUUUUAGGCGCACGUCAGGGUUCGAAUCCUGCAGCAGAUAAAAGCUUGGUAUUCAAGUGGAGAAGGGUAGAGACUCUGGUACAUUAUUCAUCGAGUUCAUGGAGCCAGAAUUCAUACAAGGAGAUCCGAAAAAAAUACUAGAGUGUCACACCUAGAAUUGAACAUGUGAGCUAAAGCAAUUUUUGAACACCUUUUCCACUACAUCAGAAACUUUCCUCAUGUCAAGUGGAUUCAACAGCUCAUACCUAACAAAAAAAAAUUACUUUUUCUCCUAUUUACGUAGUACCACUUUCCUUUGAAGGAGAUUAAAUUGAACCGCUUGCCUCCCUUUAGCCUACCCCUGGUCCUUGGGGACGGGCAGAUGGAGUGUUGUAACCCGGGUACUUUUGAUACGGAACAUAAAUUCAUGUUUAAAAAAUAAACUAAAAGUGAAACAAAUAGUAGGUCUCAACCCAUAAUUUUAAAAAUACAUUCAAUGCUACGAACCUUAAAGUUAAACCUACAAAACUUAAAUCCUGGAUUUGCCUCGGGGAUUGUCAGAUUAUUAAAAAAAAGGAUCUUUCUAAUUUGUGGACCAAUAAAAAGAAUCACAUAAUGGGACGUAAUGAGAACAUAAUUAAGUAAAUAAAAGUGUAUAAAACGGGAAAAAAAACAGUAACAUGAUAGGAGGUCUGAAAACACAAUUAAUAAAUAAGACAUAAUUAUAUGAUCUCUUAACUUCUAAGCUUGUAUCACCUUAAAUUGAUUCGGUUAAAAGCCAAGAUAUCGAAUACCCAAAAAACCCAAAUGCAUGACUAAACCAAAUAUACAGAUUAUAUGUAUGUCACUUUUCAAAAACAUAAACAGAAACUUAUAUAUACAUGACUAAACCAUUAAUGAGCCUAAUUAAGCAGAGUAAAGCUGAAGAAAAAGAAAAAGGCAUAAUUAAUUGGCUGCUCACCGUCGCGGAAGAAGAAUGACUGCCAAAUAAUUGCUGCUCUGUAACAAAAAAACCCAACUUUUACUGAACUC